rnacentral:rRNA from 1 species
AUUGAACGCUAGCGGGAUGCUUUACACAUGCAAGUCGAACGAGCGGCGGACGGGUGAGUAAUGUAUGGGGACUGCCCGAUAGAGGGGGAUAACUACUGGAAACGGUAGCUAAUACCGCAUACUAUCGGAUAACCCAUAUGGGAUGAGCUGGUAGGUGAGGUAAUGGCGCACCUAGGCGACGGGCCCUAGCCUGUCUGAGAGGAUGAUCAGCCACACUGGUACUGAGACACGGCCCAGACUCCUACGGAGGCAGCAGUGGGGAAUAUUGCACAAUGGGCGCAAGCCUGAUGCAGCCAUGCCGCGUGUAUGAAGAAGGCCCUAGGGUUGUAAAGUACUUUCAGUCGGGAGGCGUUACCGACAGAAGAAGCACCGGCUAACUCCGUGCCAGCCGCCGCGGUAAUAC